rnacentral:rRNA from 1 species
GUGGGGAAUCUUGUGCAAUGGGCGAAAGCCUGACGCAGCCAUGCCGCGUGAAUGAUGAAGGUCUUAGGAUUGUAAAAUUCUUUCACCGGGGACGAUAAUGACGGUACCCGGAGAAGAAGCUCCGGCUAACUUCGUGCCAGCAGCCGCGGUAAUACGAAGGGGGCUAGCGUUGCUCGGAAUUACUGGGCGUAAAGGGCGCGUAGGCGGACAGCUUAGUCAGAGGUGAAAGCCCAGGGCUCAACCUUGGAAUUGCCUUUGAUACUGGCUGUCUUGAGUUUGGGAGAGGUGAGUGGAACUCCGAGUGUAGAGGUGAAAUUCGUAGAUAUUCGGAAGAACACCAGUGGCGAAGGCGACUCACUGGCCCAAUACUGACGCUGAGGCGCGAAAGCGUGGGGAGCAAACAGGAUUAGAUACCCGAGUAGUCC